UACGGAGGGUGCGAGCGUUGUUCGGAAUCAUUGGGCGUAAAGCGCGCGUAGGCGGCCAUGUAAGUCAGGUGUGAAAGCCCUCGGCUCAACCGAGGAACUGCGCCUGAUACUGUGUGGCUUGAGGGUUGGAGGGGAGAGUGGAAUUCCCGUGGAGCGGUGAAAUGCGUAGAUAUCGAGAGGAACACCUGCGGCGAAGGCGGUGCUGGCUGACACUGACGCUGAUGCGCGAAAGCUAGGGAGCGAA
rnacentral:rRNA from 1 species